GGCCGGUCUGCGUACAGUGGUGUUAAGUAAUCACAGCCAGUUACAGAUUUCCUUGUUUCUUCUCCACCCCCACUGUUUCACUUGACUAGCCUUAA
rnacentral:Y_RNA from 2 species